GUCAUUUGAGGAAGACUUUGGUGGUGAAGGAAAUGUUGGUUAUUCGGAACUGAAGAUGCCAAAGGUCCCACACAAAGCUUCUUCGGAUACAUCCCAGGAACCCGAAGGACCAGGGCAAGCCAACUCCUCGUCCUGCAGAAAGAAAAUAAACACAGCAUAUGCACCAACUAAGCAACUUGAUAGGUUAUACAGCGAAAAAGUCAGUCUGGCAGAAACCUCUGGCCCAGAAACAAUUUAUUCUGAAAUUGGCCUCAACCAAGAUCUGAGCGGUAGGGUGUUCCCCGAGACCCAGAGUGGGCCGUCUCCUCUUCUUCUGCCGAAGAAAGCCACACUAGGCUCUCCGGCAUCAACUCCUCCAAGGUUGUCUCCCAAGUUACCUAAUAAACCCAAUGUGCCCCUGGAACCUCAAGGAUCAGAAACUCCAUUGGCAACAUCCACAACUUCUCUCAUGACUGACAAAGACUGUCAUAAGCCAAGCCAGGCCAAGAGUUUGUCUGGUUCCCCGAGGGAAACCCUUUAUGGGCAAGUCCACAAGUUAAAAUCCCAUCACUCCAUCGUCUCCUCUGACGACAACAAGAGCGAUACCUAUGAGCAGAUUCCUUUUGUGUGGACGAAGAUCAUCCCUCGUGAGCAGGAUCCGGAAAGGAUCCCCAAGUCUUUGCCCACCAAACCCAAAGACUUUCAUGAACCCAUCUCCGCCAAGACCGGGCGGUCCUUGAAGACCCAGGUUUAUGCUGAGAACCCUGAUGAGAGGAUCCCCAGCGAUCUACCCAAAGGUUCAUCAUCCUCCAGGAAUGUCCGCCUUGUGGAGAACACCUACGAGCAAAUUCACUUUGGCCCUGCAAAGGAGACAGAGGGAAAGGGGACGCAAAAGAGCGAAAAAACCAGAAGGUUUCUUUUUGCAGACCGGAAGAUUAAAUUCUGAGCGCUGUGUUUCAGAGGCUGUUUGCAGCCCUUCCACACACACACACACACACCCCAGGCUGAAGAUUCCCUUUCUGAGCGCUGUGUUUCAGAGGCUGUUUGGAGCCCUUCCACACACACUCACACCCCCCAGGCUGAAGAUCCCCGGAUGAGAACUAGCGACCGCUUCACAUCAAAAAGAAUGUCAUUUCUCAGCGUUAAAGGAUUCAGAAGUUCAUCUUUUCAUAUAACGUUGUUCCAUGUUUAACAGCACAGAUUCGGGACCUGUACAUAGUCCUUUACAACAGUGGCCUCCAACCUUGGGCCUCCAGAUGUUCUUGGACUUCAGCUCCCAGAAAUCCUGGCUAGCAGAGGGGGUGGUGGAGGCUUCUGGGAGUUGAGUCCAAGAACAUCUGGAGGCCCAAGGUUGGGGACCACUGCUUUACAACCAGUUAUGCUAGCUAGGGCUUCUGGGAAUUAUAAGCCAAUGGAACUCUCGACUUCCUGCUUUACAGGCUCCUGUGUUGGAGUUUUGUUCCAUUUGGGUGGUUCUAGAUUUUCUUCCGUGGCAGUCAACCGUUUCUGAAUUUAAUGACUAUAACUGCAGUUCUACAAGUAGAACUCAAACUUUUAACUUCAUGUAUUUUCCUGUGAUGAAAGUCUGAAAGAGCUGGACGUGUUUAGCCUGGAGAAAAAAAAGGCUGAGGAGAGAUAAGAUAGCACUCUUCAAAUACUUGUAGGUAGUCCUACAGAGGAGGGGCAGGAUCGGUGGUGUUUAGCCUGGAGAAAAAAAAGGCUGAGGAGAGAUAAGAUAGCACUCUUCAAAUACUUGUAAGGUAGUCCUACAGAGGAGGAGCAGGAUCGGUGCCCGAUCAUCCCAGAGGGCAGGACACAUAAGAAUGGGCUCAAAUUAAAGGAAGCCAGAUUUCAGUCGAAUAUCGGGAAAAACUUCCUAACUGUUAGAGCAGUACGACAGGGGAACCCAUAACCUCGGGAGGUGGUGAGCAUUCCAACGCUGGAGGCAUUCCAGAGAAAAUGGAGCACCCUUCUGUCAGAUUUUUUAUUUGGAUUUCUGCAAAUCCAAAUGAGCAGGGGGAUUGGGUUCGAUGACCUCAUAAGCCCCCUCCGACUCAAUUAUUCUAUGAUCCUAAAUAAAUAAAUUGCACAUUUUCCA
rnacentral:lncRNA from 1 species